UGCAAUCUUGUGGGGAAAACAGAAAAUAAAAACAAACAAAUAAGGUUUUAAAGUACAGUUUGUGAUCAUUGAUAUUAAGAAUAUAACCUCUUGAAGAGCUAGAGAACAACUGAGGGGAGUGAUUAGAGAAAAGCAUCAGGAAAGACUUGACUAAGGAGGUGGAAGUCCGUCGGAAAAUGGAAAAAAUGACAUGGAGCCAGCCAAGCAAAAUCUCUGGAAAAGAGAAUUCUAACAGCGAUCAGAUUAACAACAAAGGCCUUGAACUGGAAAAUGCUUGAAUUAUUCAAAAGACAGUUUAUAGAGAGAGAGAGAGAGAGAAUAAAUAGUCAGAGCCUCGUGAGAAAAGAGAUCAAGUACAAAGUGCACUGGAGAGGCAGUUUACCUGAUGGACCCAGUAAGUAGAAGGUAGACGUUGUGCAAGUAAAAUUUCUAGGAUCCUGUCAGCGUCACCAAAUGCCUGGCCCCAUGCAGGAUGCACUCACAUGAACUUUCAUCUACAAAAGAGCUG
rnacentral:lncRNA from 1 species